rnacentral:rRNA from 1 species
CCCUUAGAUGUUCUGGGCCGCACGCGCGCUACACUGACGGAUUCAACGAGCUUACAACCUUGGCCGAAAGGUCUGGGUAAUCUCCAAAAUCCGUCGUGAUGGGGAUAGAUUAUUGCAAUUAUUAAUCUUCAACGAGGAAUGCCUAGUAAGUGCAAGUCAUCAGCUUGCGUUGAUUACGUCCCUGCCCUUUGUACACACCGCCCGUCGCUCCUACCGAUUGAAUGGUCCGGUGAAGCGUUUGGACUAUGGUUUUCUGAUGGUCCGCCGUUGGAUUACCGUGGGAAGUUCGUUAAACCUUAUCAUUUAGAGGAAGGAGAAGUCGUAACA